rnacentral:rRNA from 1 species
AGCGAACGUUAGCGGCGGGCCUAACACAUGCAAGUCGAGCGAGAAAGUGGCUUCGGCCAUCAGUAAAGCGGCGGACGGGUGAGUAACACGUAGGUAAUCUUCCCUUGAGCGGGGGACAACGAGCCGAAAGGCUCGCUAAUACCGCAUACGUUUCCAGAGGCCCCGGCCUUUGGAAGGAAAGCCAGGCAGCAAUGUCCGGCACCCGAGGCGGACCCUGCGUCGCAUCAGCUAGUUGGUGGGGUAACGGCCUACCAAGGCGAAGACGCGUAGCUGGUCUGAGAGGAUGAUCAGCCACACUGGGACUGAGACACGGCCCAGACUCCUACGGGAGGCAGCAGUGGGGAAUAUUGGACAAUGGGCGCAAGCCUGAUCCAGCCACGCCGCGUGAGUGAUGAAGGCCUUCGGGUCGUAAAGCUCUGUGGGGAGGGACGAACCGCUGCAGGUUCAUAGCCUGCAGCAUGACGGUACCUCCUUAGCAAGCACCGGCUAACUUCGUGCCAGCAGCCGCCGUAAAAC